AUGCAGCAGGAGGGCUACCAUCUAUCCGAUGGUGCCUUACCCGUCGUGAUGCAGCAGCACGGCGAGCGGCGCGCGGUUCACGUACCAGUUCGUCAAGUGGAUCAUCGCCAAGCGACGAAGCGGUCCUCGGUUCGAGCCAUGGUGAGGGUGGUGCUGGCAGCUGUGGCCACUCAUAGGCCUGGCUGGCAUCUUGACUUCAGCAACUGCCCGACUCAUGCCCCCCCAGCUCCUCGAGUGCACAUGAAAUCUUGUGUUGACAGCCUUCAAGUCAACAAUUCAAGAUGCACUUCUAUUCAAAGGGAAUCAACCUCUGCAAGCUUGCAGCCACAUGCACAAGCCCUCCCAGCAACAUUACCGAGGUCAACUUUACUUGCAACUGCAGGACUCAAUUUCAAAUCACUGAAUGUGUGUGCAGAGUGGCCAUUGUUGCUGUAUAAUUUGCAACAUAUUUUAUUUGCAGGAAACAAACAUGUUAUAUUCAGUGGAUUAUAA
rnacentral:rRNA from 1 species